UUUUCGGAAGGUAUGCUUAAAGAUGAGCUUGCGCCACAUUAGUUUGUUGGUGGGGUAAUGGCCUACCAAGACGAUGAUGUGUAGCUGGACUGAGAGGUCGAACAGCCACAUUGGGACUGAGACACGGCCCAAACUCCUACGGGAGGCAGCAGUAGGGAAUUUUCGGCAAUGGAGGAAACUCUGACCGAGCAACGCCGCGUGAACGAUGAAGUAUUUCGGUAUGUAAAGUUCUUUUAUUGAAGAAGAAAAAAUAGUGGAAAAACUAUCUUGACGUUAUUCAAUGAAUAAGCCCCGGCUAACUAUGUGCCAGCAGCCGCGGUAAGACAUAGGGGGCGAGCGUUAUCCGGAAUUAUUGGGCGUAAAGGGUGCGUAGGCGGUUAGGAAAGUCUAUAAUUUAAUUUCAGUGCUUAACGCUGUCUUGUUAUAGAAACUACCUUGACUAGAGUUAGAUAGAGGCAAGCGGAAUUCCAUGUGUAGCGGUAAAAUGUGUAAAUAUAUGGAGGAACACCAGAAGCGUAGGCGGCUUGCUGGGUCUUGACUGACGCUGAGGCACGAAAGCGUGGGUAGCAAACAGGAUUAGAUACCCUGGUAGUCCACGCCGUAAACGAUGAGUACUAAGUGUCGGGAUAAAACUCGGUACUGAAGUUAACACAUUAAGUACUCCGCCUGAGUAGUACGUACGCAAGUAUGAAACUUAAAGGAAUUGACGGGACUCCGCACAAGCGGUGGAUCAUGUUGUUUAAUUCGAAGAUACACGAAAAAUCUUACCAGGUCUUGACAUGCUCUGCAAAGCUAUAGAAAUAUAGUGGAGGUUAUCAGGGACACAGGUGGUGCAUGGUUGUCGUCAGUUCGUGUCGUGAGAUGUUAGGUUAAGUCCUAAAACGAGCGCAACCCUUGUCGUUAGUUACCAGCACGUAAUGGUGGGCACUUUAACGAGACUGCCAAUUAAACAUUGGAGGAAGGUGAGGAUUACGUCAAAUCAUCAUGCCCCUUAUGAUCUGGGCUACAAACGUGAUACAAUGGCUGUUACAAAGAGUAGCUGAAGCGCGAGUUUUUAGCCAAUCUCAAAAAAGCAGUCUCAGUUCGGAUUGAAGUCUGUAACUCGACUUCAUGAAGUUGGAAUCGC
rnacentral:rRNA from 1 species